rnacentral:lncRNA from 1 species
GAAUUCCUGACCUCAGGUGAUCCACUCGCCUCUGCCUUCCAAAGUGCUGGGAUUACUGACAUGAACCACCAUGUCCAGCCCAUUGUGGAAUAGUCUUUAAACAUAUUUGCUCCUGCUUUUUUUUUUUUCAAGUAUCAUCACUUCAGGUAUCCCUUAUGGCAUUUUCCCUGACUUGUACUUAAGAAAUAUAAUUAUGGUUUCUUACAGUUUGUCAGGGAGCCACUGGUGAUGUGGAUGGGGCACAGAUUGUCUUUAAAGAAGUUCAGAAACUCUUCAAAAGGAAAAACAAUCAGAUUGAACAGUUCUCGGUGAAAAAGGCAGAGCGAUUUCGGAAGCAAACCCCAACCAAAGCGCUCUGUGUGUUGGCGUCUAUUGAAGUGUUGUACUUGUGGAAAGCUCUUCCAAACUGUUCCUUCCCCAACCUGCAGAGGAUGAGUCAAGGUAAAAAAUUUAAAAAAACCCAAAACUGUCUACUGGACACACUGGCUUCUUCUGUCAGUGCGGCAUUCUUCAGUUUCCCGUUUAUUUCAUGUUUAUCUCAUCGGAGUCAGGG